rnacentral:rRNA from 1 species
UACGUAGGGUGCGAGCGUUGUCCGGAAUUAUUGGGCGUAAAGAGCUUGUAGGCGGUUUGUCGCGUCUGCUGUGAAAAUCCGGGGCUCAACCCCGGACUUGCAGUGGGUACGGGCAGACUAGAGUGCGGUAGGGGAGAUCGGAAUUCCUGGUGUAGCGGUGAAAUGCGCAGAUAUCAGGAGGAACACCGGUGGCGAAGGCGGAUCUCUGGGCCGUAACUGACGCUGAGGAGCGAAAGCAUGGGGAGCGAACGGG